rnacentral:rRNA from 1 species
CCUACGGGAGGCAGCAGUGAGGAAUAUUGGUCAAUGGGCUUACGCCUGAACCAGCCAAGUCGCGUGAGUGAAGACUGCCCUAUGGGUUGUAAGCCUCUUUUGUCAGGGAGCAACGCCGUCUACUUGUAGCCUGACUGAGAGUACCUGAAGCAAAAGCAUCGGCUAACUCCGUGCCAGCAGCCGCGGUAAUACGUAGGAUGCGAGCGUUAUCCGGAUUUAUUGGGUUAAAGGGGUGCGUAGGCGGAAUGCCAAGUCAGCGGUAAAAUCGCGGGGCUAAACCUCGCUCCGCAGUCGAUACUGGCGUUCUAGAGUGGGCGAGAAGUAUGCGGAAUGCGUGGUGUAGCGGUGAAAUGCAUAGAGAUCACGCAGAACUCCGAUUGCGAAGGCAGCAUACCGGCGACGAACUGACGCUGAAGCACGAAAGCGUGGGUAUCGAACAGGAUUAGAUACCCGAGUAGUC